AUUGAACGCUGGCGGAAUGCUUUACACAUGCAAGUCGAACGGCAGCACGGACUCAGGCCUGGUGGCGAGUGGCGAACGGGUGAGUAAUGCAUCGGAACGUGCCCAGUCGUGGGGGAUAACGUAGUGAAAGUUACGCUAAUACCGCAUACGAUCUAUGGAUGAAAGCGGGGGACCGUAAGACCUCGCGCGAUUGGAGCGGCCGAGAUCAGAUUAGGUAGUUGGUGGGGUAAAGGCUCACCAAGCCAACGAUCUGUAGCUGGUCUGAGAGGACGACCAGCCACACUGGAACGGAGACACGGUCCAGACUCCUACGGGAGGCAGCAGUGGGGAAUUUUGGACAAUGGGCGAAAGCCUGAUCCAGCCAUUCCGCGUGCAGGAUGAAGGCCUUCGGGUUGUAAACUGCUUUUGUACAGAACGAAAAGGUUUUGAUUAAUACCUGGGGCUCGUGACGGUACUGUAAGAAUAAGCACCGGCUAACUACGUGCCAGCCGCCGCCGUAA
rnacentral:rRNA from 1 species